UACUGUUUAUUUUCCUUGAAUUAGAUAUGACUUAUUGGAUUGUGUGAAAAUUUCCUGGCCAUGCGCAUCUUUAAUGUAAAUAAAUAAUGAGCAUUAUGUGGUUGGUAGAUGUCUUAUCAGUCUCGCCUUCAUUUUUAUAAGUCAUGGGUUUAGUUGCUUUAUGUUUAAAUUAGAUUUUGAUUGGAUAGAUCCUAGUUCCUUUGUUUUUUGUUUGAAUUGCAUGCAGUUUUGUUUUAAUUUUAUCCGUGUACAAUAAGCCGAUGCUCUGGAUACUCAAUGAAGGUAGCAUGGUAAGGUGCACGGAAAUUGAAUUACAUUGGUCUACAUGUCUGCUCCCUCUGAUGCCUCUCCUUGGAGGCAUUUGAUUUGGGGGCCUGGUUAUGACCCACAUUUCAUUUGCUCUCAUCAUUCUUUUUUGCAAAUAUUGUAAAUUUGAAUUGUUGGAUUCAUUUAUUAUUUGUUUAAUGUCAUACUUGAUGUUCUCUCUUCUAGGUUGCUGAUUUCUGUAUCAAGACCUUGUGUGUAAUUAGAUUUUGAAUGGGUGGACUGUUGCUGGUUCUGUAGUGUUUGAAUUGCAUGUAGUUCUUUUUAAAAUUUUGUUAUCUGUGUACAAUAAGCCGAUGCUCUGGACAGAAUAGCACAAUGAAGGUGGCAUGGUAAGGUGCACAGAAAUUGAAUUGUAUUGGUCUACAUGUCUGCUCCCUCUGAUGCCUCUCUAGGAGGCUUUUGAUUUGGGGGCCUGGUUCUGACCCACAUUUCAUUUGCACUCCUCAUUCUUGUUGUGUCAAACAUUCUAUAUUUGAAUUGGUUGAGUCAUUUAUAUUUGUUUGAUGUCAUUCUUGGCAUUCUCUCUUUCUAGAACUAGGUUUCUGAUUCCUGUAUCAAGAGCUUCAUUUGCAUUGUGUUCAAAUUAGAUUUUGAACGGGUGGACAUCAGUUGCUUUUCUAUUUUGCUUUAAUUCCAUGUAAUUCUUAUUAAAAUUUUGUUAUCUGUGUACAAUAAGCCGAUGCUCUGGACAGAAUACACAAUGAAGGUGGCAUGGUAAGGUGCACAGAAAUUGAAUUAUAUUGGUCUACAUGUCUGCUCCCUCUGAUGUGUCUGUACAAUGCUUUUGAUUUGGGGGCCUGGUUUCUGACCCACAGUUUAUUUGCUUUUCUCUUUCUCCUUGUCUCAUAAAGUUGUUUCCUAAAGUGGCAAAAUGUAAUUUAUCAUGUUGCUGACAAAUUCCUACUUUUAAGGGAUGUUGCUCUCUUUUCCUCAUUCAAGGGUUAUGACUUGGAUUUGAUUGUGAUUCUUGAUUUCAUCUGGGUCUUGCAAGAUUCUGUGAUGUAGCUUUGAGGUGUCCAUGUUUGAAUUUAUUCUGAACAAGAGCUUUGUUCUGGUUUCAGGAAAACUGGCGGAGGCCCAAGGGUAUUGAUUCAAGGGUAAGGAGAAAGUUCAAAGGAUGUACUCUGAUGCCCAAUAUUGGCUAUGGAUCAGACAAGAAAACUCGCCGCCUGGUUCUGACCCACAUUUCAUUCGCACUCAUUCUUGUUGUGUCAAAAAUUCUAUAUUUGAAUUGGUUGAGUCAUUUGUAUUUGUUUGAUGCCAUUCUUGGCAUUCUCUCUUUCUAGAACUGGGUUUCUGAUUCCUGUAUCAAGAGCUUCAUUUGCAUUGUGUUCAAAUUAGAUUUUGAACGGGUGGACAUCAGUUGCUUUUCUAUUGUGCUUUAAUUCCAUGUGAUUCUUAUUAAAAUUUUGUUAUCUGUGUACAAUAAGCCGAUGCUCUGGACAGAAUACACAAUGAAGGUGGCAUGGUAAGGUGCACAGAAAUUGAAUUAUAUUGGUCUACAUGUCUGCUCCCUCUGAUGUGUCUGUACAAUGCUUUUGAUUUGGGGGCCUGGUUUCUGACCCACAGUUUAUUUGCUUUUCUCUUUCUCCUUGUCUCAUAAAGUUGUUUCCUAAAGUGGCAAAAUGUAAUUUAUCAUGUUGCUGACAAAUUCCUACUUUUAAGGGAUGUUGCUCUCUUUUCCUCAUUCAAGGGUUAUGACUUGGAUUUGAUUGUGAUUCUUGAUUUCAUCUGGGUCUUGCAAGAUUCUGUGAUGUAGCUUUGAGGUGUCCAUGUUUGAAU
rnacentral:lncRNA from 1 species